CUCUUCCACUACAACUCAGGUACACUCUUCCUCCCUCUCUCUUCCACUACAACUCAGGUACACUCUUCCUCCCUCUCUCUUCCACUACAACUCAGGCACACUCUUCCUCCCUCUCUCUUCCACUACAACUCAGGCACACUCUUCCUCCCUCUCUCUUCCACUAAAACUCAGGUACACUCUUCCUCCCUCUCUCUUUCACUACAACUCAGGCACACUCUUCCUCCCUCUCUCUUCCACUACAACUCAGGCACACUCUUCCUCCCUCUCUCUUCCACUACAACUCAGGCACACUCUUCCUCCCUCUCUCUUCCACUACAACUCAGGCACACUCUUCCUCCCUCUCUCUUUCACUACAACUCAGGUACACUCUUCCUCCCUCUCUCUUCCACUACAACUCAGGCACACUCUUCCUCCCUCUCUCUUCCACUACAACUCAGGCACACUCUUCCUCCCUCUCUCUUCCACUACAAAUCUUGGCCCGGUUCCCCGAUAGCGAUGGAACUUAGGCUUACGAGUGUUUUUAACAAUGUAUCUUUC